GAUGACAUAUGUACACAUAUACAUGCAUACACAUAUGCUGUAUUGCACUUUAUUUGCAGUCCCUCACUUGUUUGCUUGUCUCCCUGCUGUGUGCGUGUGCCUUUGCAUCUAUUUGCACAGGACAGAGCACUUUAAAGUUCACUACACCAUAGCAUUCAUUCCUUCCUGCCUGGGUGUUAUUGGCAUGCAACAAUGCACCUAAUACCCAGGACAUACACUUGGACCUGCAACCAGCACACACGCGCUUCGGGCAUGUGGGACAACAAAUUCGAAGUAGGUAUGGAGGAUCGCGCACAUGCAUGGGGGCGUGCAUGCACUAAUGAAGGCAGUGAGAUGCCUGUGGUUCACCGUAGAAUGCUUCAAAACAUGCGAGUCACUGCUGCACCAGCCGAGAAUCGAACUCGGGUCUGGUCCGUGGCAAGGACCUAUGCUACCACUAUACCACUGGUGCUCUGUAAGACACGGAAACUGCUCGAGUCAACACCACUGCACACAACUAUAUCAAGAGUUACACACAUGCAGACAUACAAUGUGCACAGAAUCACGUGUUCUAUAUACCUAGGUAUAUGGGUAUGCCUCUCUGGUGCCCGUAAUAGGUUUGUCUGAGGGAGCACCAGUGGUGUCGUGGUUGCAUAUAUGGGUCCUUUGCCGCAGACUAGACUCGAGUUUAUCCUCGACUGGUGCACAAAAACAUGCAUGUUUUGUAGCAUUGUACGGUGGGCCGCUGGCUUCUCAGCAUUGCCUUGAUUAUUGGAUGUGCUCUAUCCACCUAGUUUGUUGUUCCAUAUGCCUGAAGCACAUGUGUGUUGGUAGCAGGUCCAGGUGCAUGUCCGAGGUAAUGUGUGCUUUGCCACAUGCCAAUAACACCCAGGCAGGAAGGGAUGAAUGCUCUGGCAUAUUGAACUGUAAAGUGCUCUGUCCUGCGCCAUAAUAGACGCAAAGACAUAAGUACACAGCAGGGAGAUGGGUGAAUGAGUGAAGAUUGCCAACCUGUAUUAGGGCAUGGUUAGCACCCAUAAAUAUUGAGAAUAAGAUCCUUGCCCCAACAACCGCCCAGCCAUGCCUAAAUACCUGUGUGCCCAGCAAAACAUGCCCAUGGCCCCAUGCAUGCCUAGGUGAUGUACACGUGAUUGUGGGAUGGGCUGUGCCCACUCACUCCUCACAUGCCUAGCAGCCAGAAUGAGGUGUUGNGUGUUUUUCAUGUGCUAUGGCAGUGGUCGUGUGGCUUAAUGGAUAAUUAUAAGGCAUCGUCCUCCAGUUUUAUGUCCAGGAUGGAGAUUGUGGGUUUCAGUCCCUAACUUCCCCGGCCCCAUGUUUUN
rnacentral:lncRNA from 1 species